GUAGUCCACGCCGUAAAUGAUGAGUGCUAGGUGUCGGGGGUCAAACCUCGGUGCCGGAGCUAACGCAUUAAGCACUCCGCCUGGGGAGUACGUACGCAAGUAUGAAACUCAAAGGAAUUGACGGGGACCCGCACAAGCAGCGGAGCAUGUGGUUUAAUUCGAAGCAACGCGAAGAACCUUACCAGGACUUGACAUGGUAUUGACCGGUCUAGAGAUAGGUCUUUCCCUUCGGGGACAAUACACACAGGUGGUGCAUGGUUGUCGUCAGCUCGUGUCGUGAGAUGUUGGGUUAAGUCCCGUAACGAGCGCAACCCCUAUUUUUAGUUGCUAACAGGUUAAGCUGAGCACUCUAGAGAGACUGCCGAUGAUAAAUCGGA
rnacentral:rRNA from 1 species